rnacentral:tRNA from 1 species
UCCCUGGUGGUCCAGUGGUUAAGACUCCACACUCCUAAUGCCGGGGGCCCGGGCUCAAUCCCUGGCCAGGGAA